AAGGUUAAGCCUCACGGUUCAUUAGUACCGGUUAGCUCAACGCAUCGCUGCGCUUACACACCCGGCCUAUCAACGUCGUCGUCUUCAACGUUCCUUCAGGACCCUUAAAGGGUCAGGGAGAACUCAUCUCGGGGCAAGUUUCGUGCUUAGAUGCUUUCAGCACUUAUCUCUUCCGCAUUUAGCUACCGGGCAGUGCCAUUGGCAUGACAACCCGAACACCAGUGAUGCGUCCACUCCGGUCCUCUCGUACUAGGAGCAGCCCCCCUCAGUUCUCCAGCGCCCACGGCAGAUAGGGACCGAACUGUCUCACGACGUUCUAAACCCAGCUCGCGUACCACUUUAAAUGGCGAACAGCCAUACCCUUGGGACCUACUUCAGCCCCAGGAUGUGAUGAGCCGACAUCGAGGUGCCAAACACCGCCGUCGAUAUGAACUCUUGGGCGGUAUCAGCCUGUUAUCCCCGGAGUACCUUUUAUCCGUUGAGCGAUGGCCCUUCCAUUCAGAACCACCGGAUCACUAUGACCUGCUUUCGCACCUGCUCGCGCCGUCACGCUCGCAGUCAAGCUGGCUUAUGCCAUUGCACUAACCUCCUGAUGUCCGACCAGGAUUAGCCAACCUUCGUGCUCCUCCGUUACUCUUUAGGAGGAGACCGCCCCAGUCAAACUACCCACCAGACACUGUCCGCAACCCGGAUCACGGGUCCACGUUAGAACAUCAAACAUUAAAGGGUGGUAUUUCAAGGUCGGCUCCAUGCAGACUGGCGUCCACACUUCAAAGCCUCCCACCUAUCCUACACAUCAAGGCUCAAUGUUCAGUGUCAAGCUAUAGUAAAGGUUCACGGGGUCUUUCCGUCUUGCCGCGGGUACACUGCAUCUUCACAGCGAGUUCAAUUUCACUGAGUCUCGGGUGGAGACAGCCUGGCCAUCAUUACGCCAUUCGUGCAGGUCGGAACUUACCCGGCAAGGAAUUUCGCUACCUUAGGACCGUUAUAGUUACGGCCGCCGUUUACCGGGGCUUCGAUCAAGAGCUUCGCUUGCGCUAACCCCAUCAAUUAACCUUCCGGCACCGGGCAGGCGUCACACCGUAUACGUCCACUUUCGUGUUUGCACAGUGCUGUGUUUUUAAUAAACAGUUGCAGCCAGCUGGUAUCUUCGACUGAUUUCAGCUCCACGAGCAAGUCGCUUCACCUACGUAUCAGCGUGCCUUCUCCCGAAGUUACGGCACCAUUUUGCCUAGUUCCUUCACCCGAGUUCUCUCAAGCGCCUUGGUAUUCUCUACCUGACCACCUGUGUCGGUUUGGGGUACGAUUUGAUGUUACCUGAUGCUUAGAGGCUUUUCCUGGAAGCAGGGCAUUUGUUGCUUCAGCACCGUAGUGCCUCGUCAUCACGCCUCGGCCUUGAUUUUCCGGAUUUGCCUGGAAAACCAGCCUACACGCUUAAACCGGGACAACCGUCGCCCGGCCAACAUAGCCUUCUCCGUCCCCCCUUCGCAGUAACACCAAGUACAGGAAUAUUAACCUGUUUCCCAUCGACUACGCCUUUCGGCCUCGCCUUAGGGGUCGACUCACCCUGCCCCGAUUAACGUUGGACAGGAACCCUUGGUCUUCCGGCGAGCGGGCUUUUCACCCGCUUUAUCGUUACUUAUGUCAGCAUUCGCACUUCUGAUACCUCCAGCAUACCUCACAGCACACCUUCACAGGCUUACAGAAUGCUCCCCUACCCAACAACGCAUAAAGCGUCGCUGCCGCAGCUUCGGUGCAUGGUUUAGCCCCGUUACAUCUUCCGCGCAGGCCGACUCGACCAGUGAGCUAUUACGCUUUCUUUAAAUGAUGGCUGCUUCUAAGCCAACAUCCUGGCUGUCUGGGCCUUCCCACAUCGUUUCCCACUUAACCAUGACUUUGGGACCUUAGCUGGCGGUCUGGGUUGUUUCCCUCUUCACGACGGACGUUAGCACCCGCCGUGUGUCUCCCGUAAUAACAUUCUCCGGUAUUCGCAGUUUGCAUCGGGUUGGUAAGUCGGGAUGACCCCCUUGCCGAAACAGUGCUCUACCCCCGGAGAUGAAUUCACGAGGCGCUACCUAAAUAGCUUUCGGGGAGAACCAGCUAUCUCCCGGUUUGAUUGGCCUUUCACCCCCAGCCACAAGUCAUCCGCUAAUUUUUCAACAUUAGUCGGUUCGGUCCUCCAGUUAGUGUUACCCAACCUUCAACCUGCCCAUGGCUAGAUCACCGGGUUUCGGGUCUAUACCCUGCAACUUAACGCCCAGUUAAGACUCGGUUUCCCUUCGGCUCCCCUAUUCGGUUAACCUUGCUACAGAAUAUAAGUCGCUGACCCAUUAUACAAAAGGUACGCAGUCACACGCCUAAGCGUGCUCCCACUGCUUGUACGUACACGGUUUCAGGUUCUUUUUCACUCCCCUCGCCGGGGUUCUUUUCGCCUUUCCCUCACGGUACUGGUUCACUAUCGGUCAGUCAGGAGUAUUUAGCCUUGGAGGAUGGUCCCCCCAUAUUCAGACAGGAUACCACGUGUCCCGCCCUACUCAUCGAGCUCACAGUAUGUGCAUUUUUGUGUACGGGGCUGUCACCCUGUAUCGCACGCCUUUCCAGACGCUUCCACUAACACACACACUGAUUCAGGCUCUGGGCUGCUCCCCGUUCGCUCGCCGCUACUGGGGGAAUCUCGGUUGAUUUCUUUUCCUCGGGGUACUUAGAUGUUUCAGUUCCCCCGGUUCGCCUCAUUAACCUAUGGAUUCAGUUAAUGAUAGUGUGACGAAUCACACUGGGUUUCCCCAUUCGGAAAUCGCCGGUUAUAACGGUUCAUAUCACCUUACCGACGCUUAUCGCAGAUUAGCACGUCCUUCAUCGCCUCUGACUGCCAGGGCAUCCACCGUGUACGCUUAGUCGCUUAA
rnacentral:rRNA from 1 species